AUCUUGAAAUGACGUAAACGAAAGGCCAAGAAGACGUUUCUUUUACAAACAAACACUUUUUCUAAGAAAAGAGCAUUCCUGAAGAUUUCAAUCGCUUCCUCUUCUUCACUCAGUAUCCAGACUCAGACUCAGAGCACCCAUUCGCCGGUAAAUUGCCGUAUACCGGAGGGCCCACCACCGACUCACUUCGCCGCCCAUGGAUAACCCCAAAUCAAAGCCCUCCGCCGCAAUUCCAUCAUACAAAAAAUACGAGAUCCGCCACAGACUCCCAAAUCCCAAAGUCGCCGCGCUCUUAGUGAUCGACAUGCAGAACUAUUUCUCCGCCAUGGCAAAGCCCAUCUUCCCCCAUAUCCUCACCACCAUCCGCCUUUGCCGUGCUGCCUCCAUCCCUGUCAUCUUCACCCGCCACGCCCACGCCUCUGCCUCCGACAACCCCAUCCUCAACGAAUGGUGGAACGGCGACAUUAUACUUGAAGGAACCCCUGCAGCCGGUCUCAUUUCCGAUCUCGAUCGGGAGGACGCCGAUGAGGUCAUCCGGAAGAACACCUACAGUGCAUUCCGGAACACGCGCCUAGAGGACUGCCUGAAAGAGAAGGGCGUGGAAGAGGUGAUUGUGACUGGGGUUAUGACGAACAUUUGCUGUGAGACAACGGCACGUGACGCGUUUGUAAGAGGGUAUAGAGUGUUCUUCUCCACGGAUGCGACGGCGACGGUGGACUUGGAGCUACAUGAGGCUACGUUGAAGAAUUUGGCUUAUGGGUUCGCUUACUUGGUGGAUUGCAAGAGGCUUGGAGAGAUUUCUGCCAUGAAGAAAACUGGGCAACCAUGUAAUAAUUCUGAAGUUGUUGAUGUGGAAGAUGAUAGAGAGGCUAGGAUUGACCCUCAACUUGAAAUUGUGGAGCCAGUGAUUGGGAUGAAGUUCAUUUCUGUUGAGGAAACGUAUCGGUUCUAUGUCAAUUAUGCAACAAAAGUCGGUUUUACUGUUAGGAAACAAUAUCACAAAAAGAAAAAGAAUGGAAUUGUUUCAAGAGCUUCCUUUUGUUGCUCAAAGGAAGGGUUUCGUCAAGUAAACAAGAGAAAAGAAUUUGUUCAUUAUACUCGGCCAAUUUCAAGGACAGGAUGUGAAGCUUCAUUGGCAUGCUUGCUUGGAAAGAAUGGUCAAUACAGAGUUGUGUCUUUUAAAGGAAAUCACAAUCAUGACCUUGGUAAAAUGACGUUGAAGCGUACAAUAAAUGUUGACAUGAACAUUUCCAAUGCUCAAAAAGUGCAUGAUGCAGAUAGUUCAAGAACUUCAUUUGGAGCUACUAUGGGACUAAUAAAUAAAGAGGUGGACGGUAGAGAAGGAACGGGAUUCGUGGAUAGAGAUUACAUGAAUUAUGUACCCAUAGAAAAAAAAGCAAGAAUUGAAAAGGGAGAAGUUGAAGCACUUGUACAGUUUUUUGAGAAUAAACAGAGGGACAACUCUUCUAUUUUUUAUGCAUUGCAACACAAUGAAGAUAACAUGGUCACUAAUAUCUUUUGGACCGAUGCACGCUCAGUGUAUGAUUAUGAGUGUUUUGGAGAUGUCAUUUGUUUUGACACUACCUAUCGUUCAAGUGAACUUGGUCGACCUUUUACACCAUUCUUUGGAGUUAAUCACCAUAAACAAUCAGCAAUAUUUGGUGCAGCUUUACUUUAUGAUGAAACAAUCGAGUCUCUUAAAUGGUUGUUUAAUACUUUUCUUAGUGUAAUGUCUAGAAAGCAACCAAAGACAAUUCUUACAAAUCAGUCUUCGACAAUAGCUAAAGCAAUAUGUGAUGUUUUUCCUGAAGCCCAACAUCGACUAUGUGUUUGGCAUAUUUUUCAAAGUGCUGCUAAGACCUUGAGUCAUGUGUUUCAUGGACCAAAUCAAUUUGUUCAGGACUUUAGCAGUUGUUUAUUUGAUUAUGAAGAUGAAGAUGAUUGGUUGUUAGCAUGGCAGAAAAUGUUGGAUAAAUAUGCUCUUACAAAUAACAAGUGGUUGACAUAUUUGUUUGAAUUGCGAGAAAAAUGGGCAAUAGUAUAUGGGCGACAAGCUUUUACAGCUGACAUGAAAAGCACACAACGUAGUGAAAUUAUGAAUGAGGUAUUGAAAAAAUAUUUAAGGCCUGAUUAUGACAUUUUGCAAUUUCUCCAACAAUAUGAUAGAUUUUUAGCAGAUCGAAGAUGUGAGGAAAUGGUUGCGGAUUUUAAGAUGAAUCAUACAACACCUAUUUUGCCAAUGGAUACAGAAAUGUUACUACAUGUGGUAGACAUAUACACACCAGCAAUAUUUAAAUUGUUUGAAAAAGAAUAUAUGAAUAUUCUUAGUUGUAGUACCUUCAAGAUGGGUAAGUUUGACGGUGUAUCGGAGUAUAAAGUAUUAUUUCAUGGAAGCUCUUGUCAUUGGUUAGUUAAAUAUGAGGCUUCAACACAAACAGUCACGUGUAGUUGCAUGAAAUUCACAUCCACCGGUAUUCUAUGUAGCCACUCUCUUAAGGUACUCGAUAGGAAGAAUGUGAAAAAGCUUCCUGCCUCAUAUAUUUUGAAAAGAUGGACAAGAGAUGCAAGAGCUUCAAAUAGUCAAACACUCGAGAUUUGUGGAAAGUCAACUGGAGAACGUUAUAACCACUUGUGUCGUAAAUUUUAUCAAAUAACUUCACUAGCAGCAGAACAUGAAAAGUUGUUUGAACAUACUUCUGAAACUUUCGUUCAAUUGCUCAAAGAUUUAGAGGAGAUGAAGAAAAAUUUAUUUUGUGGAAAAUAAUCAUGUAAAGGAAUGUAUGGGAUUCGAGUUUUCAUUAGUUCAAGAAUGGGGAAAAAGACUCCAUAUACAAGAGCAUUGAAUCAAGAGAAAGUCUGUAAUUAGUUGUAUAGUUGAAAAGAAGACAUGGAAACAAAUCUGCAGUUGAAUAGAUGCAGACAGGUAAAUAAGUAUUUUGGAUGAAGAUAAAUGGGGAAAAGUAUGAACGAUACUUUCAAUCCCAUUACAUUCUCGAAGGUUCUUUUGUGAUGGGUCUUAAAACUACUGAUCGAAUUCGAAUUUAGAGACAUUCUUCCUUUGUCUAGAGGUCACAGUGUGUCUAUUCUCUUCAAGGAAUCGUAUGAGGAUCUAGGCCAAUUGUCAUGGUUAAUUCAGUCCAUUUUGUUCGUUUUGGAAUUGCCUAAUCAAGGUUUAUUGGGUUGAGCUUGGGGUUGACAUAUUGAUAAUAGAGGUUGCCUCUAUUUUUGAAGGGAUGCACCUUGGAGUGGGGUUUGAGAGGAACGAUAGAAUCUUGAGAGGUAUUGUUAGAAUGUUUGGUCCUUUGUUAGAUUCUAACUCGUCUUACGAGUGUUACAAUUCUUCCAUAGGUUUUACUAUGUCUUCUGUUUGUAUGGCAGUCUUGAUUCAAGCCACAAGUAUGGUAGAACGUGUUAUAUGGAUUUCACUUACAUAUUUCAUUAAAAGUUAACUUUGUUUAAUUGCUUAA